UUCUGUUGUUCGCGGCUGCUUAUUGGUUAGCUUUGAAAUUCAUACGUCAUGGCACUUGGACUUGAUUUCGACAGCAGGAGCAGCAAGACAUGCUGGAAAUUCUGAACAAAUCCCAACUGCUCUAUGCCGCAAUUCCGAGAUUUCAAUUUCAAGACGCAAGAUCAAGAUAUCUAUUUCAAUUUGUAUGGAAAUUGGAAUAGGGAUUUGGAUUAACUGAAUGUGAGUGAUUGCUGCUCAGUCACAUCCAUUUGCUGCAUCAUUGGCUUCCGCAGGUCCUCACUUGUGUGUUUGUGCGGCGGUGCCACUGAUUGUAGCGUGGCGACGGGCGUCGGGUGGCCGGGCGGCCGGCUCCGAUGCUGGUCAGGGAUGUGGGGCGGGGAGGCGCCGGCCGGCCGCUGCCGCCGGCUGCUGGUCACCACCGUGCUGCUGCUGCUGCUCGUCGUCACUAUGCUCCUGUACCGGCUGUGCUACUCCUCUCCGGGCACGGUGGUGUGC